CCAGUAGUUUUAAGUAGUUUAUUAUCAUUCAGAGGUUUCAUAUCAACAUGUCAGAAAAUGAUCACAUGACCAACAACAAGGGACAACUUUACAUAUGACCAACUGUAGGACAAGACAAUGGAACUUUUUUGGGGGAAGAGGUAGGAGGGGGAGAGAGGAUGGAGAGGGAGAGAGGUAGGAGAGGGAGCGGGGAGGAGAGGGAGAGAGGAGGAGAGGGAGAGAGGAGAGGGGGAGGGGAGAGGGGGAGGAAAGGGAGAGAGGGAGGAGAGGGAGAGAGGAGGAGAGGGAGAGAGGAUGGAGAGGGAGAGGAGAGGGAGAGAGGAGGAGAGGGAGAGAGGAGGAGAGGGAGAGAGGAGAGGGGGAGAGGAGAGGGAGAGAGGAGGAGAGGGAGAGAGGAGAGGGAGAGGGGAGAGGGGAGGAGAGGGAGAGAGGAAGGAGAGGGAGAGAGGAGAGGGGGAGAGGAGAGGGGGAGGAGAGGGAGAGAGGGAGGAGAGGGAGAGAGGAGGAGAGGGAGAGAGGUAGGAGAGGGAGCGGGGAGGAGAGGGAGAGAGGAGGAGAGGGAGAGAGGGAGAGAGGAGGAGAGGGAGAGAGGAGGAGAGGGAGCGGGGAGGAGAGGGAGAGAGGAGGACAGGGAGAGAGGAGGAGAAGGGAGAGAGGAAGGAGAGGGAGAGAGGAGGAGAGGGAGAGAGGAGGAGAGGGAGAGAGGAGGACAGGGAGAGAGGAGGAGAGGGAGCGGGGAGGAGAGGGAGAGAGGAGGACAGGGAGAGAGGAGGACAGGGAGAGAGGAGGAGAGGGAGCGGGGAGGAGAGGGAGAGAGGAGGACAGGGAGAGAGGAGGAGAGGGAGAGAGGAAGGAGAGGGAGAGAGGAGGAGAGGAAGGAGAGGGAGAGAGGAGGAGAGGAGGAGAGGGAGAGAGGAGGAGAGUUAGCGGGGAGGAGGGGGAGAGAGGUAGGAGAGGGAGAGAGAAGAAGAGGGAGAGGGGUAGGAGAGGGAGAGACCCCCUCCUCCUCAGGCUCUCCUCCCAUCGCCCAUAGCUCGGCUGGGGAGCUGCCUGGGGGUGAGGCGAUGGGUGAGGCGAGGAUCAGAAUGGGUAGAAGCUUGGGUCCCCCUUACUGGGGGGCUCUUCUCCAGGGGUUACCUGCACCUCCACUCCCUCCCCCCUCCCUCACCCCUACACCCCCCUCUGUCCCCUUCUCCACGGCCCCCUCAAUCUGUACCCCUACCGCACCUCCCACCUCAGGUUUGGGGGUCUCCUGCCCCCCCAAGGCCAUCGGGGCUUCAGUCGGGGGGUUCCCCAGGUGGGCGUGGCCGGGGUCAGGGGUCAGAGGUAAGGGGUCAAGGGUUAAGGGUGAAAGGUCAGGGUUCGGGUCCACACUCAGCCCCUGGCUCUGGUACGCUGGGAUCACUGGAGGCAGCAUCACCCUGGUGUAGACGACCU
rnacentral:lncRNA from 1 species